GUUGUCACUCAGGUACAAAUAUGCUUGCAUUUAAUGUCAGGAUUGGAGGAACACUGCACUGAAACGCUGGGCAUGGUGGUCUGUUGGUAUUUAUUGCAUUCGAGCGGUUUUAUGAGUCCAGAUUCUCCAAGCCUGCAGCACUGCAGGGGUGUCUCCAUCGCCAGCACACUCUUUGUGAAGGACACCCAGCGGGACGAUGGCAGCUGAGGACAGGCGACUGUAAUGCAGGGCUUUCCGGUCUCAGGUGGGGCCCUGCUGGAUGCCUCAUCACCUACUUCAGCAAAAAAGUGUAUCUUGAAGUCCUUCUGGGAGGAAGCAUCUGCUGAGUAACUAAAAGUAGAUGCACAGUGAAAUGAGACACGUACGAGCCAAUUCCUCAGGGUUAGAGUCUCUGCAGUUGUCCUAAAGGAGUCGAUGACCAGCAGUGAUUUUCUGUGUCUCCUGGAUUUCCACCGUCCAGAUCUAUAGAAACGCAACUGAUAACACUGAUGUAUAACAUUUUACAUUUACCUGACACUUUUGCCGAAAACAACUGGGAAUGUUUACAAUUUGUGAAUGCUCCCUCAGAAUUAAGCUUUUUGCUAUUGCCUUUGUGCUAUUAGCAGAAUGCUGUGAUUCCUGAGCUGCAGGAUUCUUUGGGGCACGUUUAGUUAGCAUGCAUUUGCUUAGUAUACAUAAGCGUGGCUUCAGAUAAGAGUUGCUGACAGGCAGCAUGGACAGUGAGGAAUCAGGGCUUCCUGUUGUCCUAAAGCUGAAGCAGAAUUCUUGUCCUGACUGUCAGUACGUUUACAUGCACACUAAGAAAAUCGAAUUAUUGUGACUAAAAUUGGACUUGUAAACUAGUACAUGUAAAUAUGUUAGUCCGACUGAAAUCGUACUAAAUCGAAUUUCUCUUUCUCGGACUAUGCAAUUCGGAGUCAGCUUACUCCGGCAUGUAUACGUCCAAUCGGAUUCAAACUGGCCUAGGCGCUCUGCACAUGCUCCUCAGUUUUUCCCUGGGCUUUGGCCCGGAAGACACAGAAGAAGCUUCGAGCAUAGCAGAGGAUGUCCAGCAAGUACGAAAUAUACAGCGCUGUACAGCUGUCCAAUCCACCGCUGAACUAUAAGCCGCCUCUGCACCCCACCAGGUACCAUACUUUUGGUACUUCAAAAAGGUACCAAACAUAUUAUAGUGCAGGAGUCAAGCUAAACAUUUUUACUCUGUCAUAGGGAAAAAAAAACAUUUCAAGUUUUGCAAUUUUAAUGAUUUUUCAUUUUCAAGAUAUAUUCAAGGAAUAUGUUUAAAAAUCUGUUUAAAAUUUACCUCAGCUGCUUUUGCAUGAACGCUGAAUAAGUUCUCCAAGACAAUCAGAAUCACUUUCAUCCUUGCUGUUUAAAUCACUCCUAGACGGUUCAUGAGGAAUUUAUGUUGACCUCCUUUUUUGUUUCAUAAAUACCCCAAUAUUUAUUACAACAAAACCACAUUGCAAUAUUUGAAAAAUGUCCAAUACCGUGCUGUCAUAGUAUAUUAUACUCAGAUCUGGUUGAUAUAACAAUCAAAACUUGUGUCACCGAUUAUUAUUAAUUCUAUUAUUUAUUUUUUAUGUCUGUGAUGUCACAGGUUAACCGGAAAAAGCCCAAUACUAACAAGCUGAAAGGAGCAAUAUCGCCACCUGUUGUAGCGGAGUCAGACACAGUCCGGUCAAUAAAUUGAUUCCCCUCCUGUGCAAGUAUACUGGAACAAGGACAGCAGUCCGAUUAAAAGGCGUAGUCGAGCUAUAACCAGAGCCCGACUUAGCUGUGCAUGUAAACGUACUUUGUGAGGUCCUACUAUUUACGGUGUGACAGACCACCUUGCGGCUGCAGAGGUGUCACGUGCAUCAACAGCCGCUCCCUGUGAUUAAACAGGCGCAUGUAUGGAAACUAACCGAAGAGCUUUCUGACACGUGUGAAGUGGCUUUGUGAGUUUGAUUCAUAUCGCGUUUUUACCAGACAGGGUAGCUUUUAAUUAGAUUUACGCACAUGAUUUAUAUGUUGAUUGAUGAGGGAGCUUGUUGAAGUAGGACAGGUUAUCAGAGCACAGGAGAUGCAAUUUGUACAACCUAAUUGCCUCAGGGAGCAGCCUGUUGCCCUUAAUGGCUACACUGUCGCAUACUGUGGACUCACUGACAUUCCCAGACUAUGUUCUGCAGCACAUAAUAAAAUGCACAUGUUUAUCUUACCAAUGACAUCGUGCUAAGUUGAUGAUCUGUCAUUACCUGGAGUCAUCUCCAAUGUAGGUGUCCAGCAUCCUUUAUAAAUAAUAUAAAAUUUCAUUUUGAACGUU